rnacentral:rRNA from 1 species
GAUGAACGCUGGCGGCGUGCUUAACACAUGCAAGUCGAACGAAGCAUUUAAGACAGAUUACUUCGGUUUGAAGUCUUUUAUGACUGAGUGGCGGACGGGUGAGUAACGCGUGGGUAACCUGCCUCAUACAGGGGGAUAGCAGCUGGAAACGGCUGGUAAUACCGCAUAAGCGCACAGUACCACAUGGUACAGUGUGAAAAACUCCGGUGGUAUGAGAUGGACCCGCGUCUGAUUAGCUUGUUGGCGGGGUAACGGCCCACCAAGGCGACGAUCAGUAGCCGACCUGAGAGGGUGCCCGGCCACAUUGGGACUGAGACACGGCCCAGACUCCUACGGGAGGCAGCAGUGGGGAAUAUUGCACAAUGGAGGAAACUCUGAUGCAGCGACGCCGCGUGAGUGAAGAAGUAGUUCACUAUGUAAAGCUCUAUCAGCAGGGAAGAUAGUGACGGUACCUGACUAAGAAGCUCCGGCUAAAUACGUG